ensembl:lncRNA
AAACUAGACAAGGACAUUUCCUGAACAUAAUGUGUGCCUGCUUGUAUUGAAGUAGGCUAAUAAUGGUAGAAGUGUGAAGGGCUUGUAGCUGGUGUAGUCUAUGGAGCUUAAAAUGCAAAUAUGAAAUGGCUUUAGUUGAAAGAGUAGUUAAAUAGCAGUGGUGGAAAAAGUACCCAAUUGUCCUACAUAAAAGUAAGAUACCUUAAUAGAAAAUCAAGUAAAAGUGAAAGUCACCCAGUAAAAUACUACUUAAAUAAAAGUCUAAAGGUAUUUGGUUUUAAAUAUACUGUAAUGAAACGGCAGGGAGCAGGUCUUCGAGCCCGAGGUCCGGCGCGCUAUCGACUGUCCGCAAAAGCAUGCUCGAGCGGCAGAAUCGAUUUCCGCGCUUAUAAACCCAGGUUCGUUACACUACUCCCUCCUUUCAAAGAGCGCGUCCUCGCGCUAGCUUGCGACUCUAGGUCUUACAGGAACGCGCUCACCGGCCAAGCACACGCACUGUCGUGUAUGCAAGGUCCGAUCACUUCUGACACCAGUGUAAUGAAACAGGCAUGGAGCACGUCUCGAACCCUCGACCUUCGAGCCCGCGGUCCGGCGCGCUAUCGACUGUGUCGCAAAAGCAUGUUCGAGCGGCAGCGUCGAUUUCCGCUGAAAACCCAGGGUCGUCACACUACUGAAGUAUCAAAAGUAAAUGUAGCCUAUAAAUAAUUUCAAAUUCCAUGUAUUAACAAAACCAGAAGGCACAAUGUUCUUGUUGUUUUAAUUUACGGAUAGCCAGGAGCACACUCCAACACUUUUACAAACAAAGUGUGUGUGUUUUGUGAGUAGGGCCAUCAGAGGCAGUAAGGAUGACCAGAGCUGUUCUCUUGAUAAGUGCGUGAAUUGGACAAUUUUCCUGUCCUGCUAAGCAUUCAAAAUGCAACAAGUACUUUUGGGUGUCAGGGAAGAUGUUUGAAAUGAAAAGUACAUUAUUUAGGGCCUCCCCAUAGGCGCAGCAAUCUAAGCAUCACUACAGCCUGGGGUUCGAUUCCAGGCUGUGUCAUUACCGGCUGUGACCGGGAGUCCCAUAGGGCGGUUCACAAUAUGCCCAGCAGGUUAGUGCAGGGUUUUGGGGAGGCUUUACUUGGCACAUCUUGCUAUCUAGCCUGCAGGCAGACCUCUGUUGUCAGUUGAACAGUGUAUCCUCUGACAUGUUGGUGCAGCUAAAAAGUAAAAGUACUACUUGAGUAGUUUUUGGGGGGAUUUGUACUUUAUUAAGGUACUUUACACCACUGGUAAAUAGUACCCACAGAGAUCCUUUUUGGUAAUCUACCUUUCUACCUCACUGACAGUCCAUUCAAUCUGAUGUGAAUUCCAUAAUACAUGGUAAUGUGGCAUUUGUUUGUUUGUUUGUCCAGUUUCUCUUCUCUCUAGAAGAGGAAUGGUUUGGAGCAACCCAUCCUGGAGUGGGAUGGGAGCUCACUCUCCCUGCUGCCCUGGUUGUUUUUGGUGUGAUAUUACUAUGGAGGACCGUCCUUGCGAUCAAAAGCAGGAUACGUCUAUGUGAGUUUUCCUACCUUUCAUUAAGUAGCUCAGAUGAGGAGAAGAAAGCUUUUGUACUUACAUUUUAUACAGUAGAUGUAGCUCCUUAGUCAUGCCUGAACCAAGACUAAUUUCAUAUUCCCAUCUGUAUCGCCAGUGACUGAGACACAGCUAAACGUGAAACUCGCCCAGCUAUCGAAAAACAAAUGUGACAUAAUGAUUCAAUUGUCUGAAAUGGAGA